AAACCAACAGGGAUUGCCCCAGUAACGGCGAGUGAAGCGGCAAAAGCUCAAAUUUGAAAGCCCCAGGGCAUUGUAAUUUGAAGGAGGGGAAAACAUCCGGUAAAGUAUUCAAGUCCGUUGGAAAACGGCGCCACAGAGGGUGAUAGCCCCGUGGAAUAUCUCCCCCCGGACUACUUUUCCCCCCCAAAGAGUCGAGUUGUUUGGGAAUGCAGCUCUAAGUGGGUGGUAAACUCCAUCUAAAGCUAAAUAUUGGCGAGAGACCGAUAGCGAACAAGUACAGUGAUGGAAAGAUGAAAAGCACUUUGAAAAGAGAGUGAAAAAGUACGUGAAAUUGUUGAAAGGGAAGGGCUUGCAAGUAGACCUUGGGCGGGCAUCGGGGAAAAGAGAAACAAAAUCACCUGGGAAUGUAACUCUCGAGUAUUAUAUCCCAGUAAGAUAUUUCUCCUCUCCCCGAGGACCGCAUUCGUAUGGAUGCCCGCGUAAUACUUGCAAGUCGCC
rnacentral:rRNA from 1 species